rnacentral:rRNA from 1 species
AGCGAACGCUGGCGGCAGGCCUAACACAUGCAAGUCGAGCGGCCGUAGCAAUACGGCAGCGGCAGACGGGAAAGUAACACGUGGGAACGUGCCCUUUGGUUCGGAAUAACGCAGGGAAACUUGCGCUAAUACCGGAUAAGCCCUUACGGGGAAAGAUUUAUCGCCAAAGGAGCGGCCCGCGUCUGAUUAGCUAGUUGGUGAGGUAACGGCUCACCAAGGCGACGAUCAGUAGCUGGUCUGAGAGGAUGAUCAGCCUCACUGGGACUGAGACACGGCCCAGACUCCUACGGGAGGCAGCAGUGGGGAAUAUUGGACAAUGGGCGCAAGCCUGAUCCAGCCAUGCCGCGUGGAUGAUGAAGGCCUUUGGGUUGUAAAGUCCUUUCAGCGGGGAAGAUAAUGACGGUACCCGCAGAAGAAGCCCCGGCUAACUUCGUGCCAGCCGCCGCAGUAAAAC